rnacentral:rRNA from 1 species
ACCUGAAAUCAAGCAAGAUCACCCGCUGAACUUAAGCAUAUCAGUAAGCGGAGGAAAAGAAACUAACAAGGAUUGCCUUAGUAGUGGCGAAUGAACCGGCAAUAGCUCAAAGUGUAAAUCUGAGGCAUCAAGUCUUAGAAUUGUAAUCUAUAGGCCUUUUAGGGAAGCCAUGGUUCUAGCAUAAGUUCCCUGAAAAGGGAUGCCAAAGAGGGUAAAAGCCCCGUAUUUGGUUAGGACUGGGUGUACCGAAGGGUUCCAAGAGUCGGGUUGUUUGGGAUUGCAGCCUAAAAUGGGAGAUAAACUUCUUCUAAAGCUAAAUAUUUAUGGGAAACCGAUAGCAAACAAGUACUACGAAGGAAAGAUGAAAAGAACUUUGAAAAGAGGGUUAAAAGACUUGAAAUCGUUGAGGAGAAAAGCGGUAGAAGAGAAAUGAUUUCAUUUAGAAGUAUGUAGUUUUGUAGGCGUCUUCUGUGGUAAUGGUACUUCAUAGGGCCUAGCUAUAGACCGGCGUUGCAUUGCUGCUUUUUCUGGGUGAAGUGCAAAAUGAGGUCUCGCUUGCGGAAACGUCUCUAGGGAAGACUCUGGCCUCGACGCUAGAAGCCCUGGUCUCCAA